GCGAGUGGUAGUGGUGUCACGCUUCCACUCUGUUGUUUGCAGAGUCUGCUGCAUUGUCUGUGCGGCGCUGAAGUGUGCUCCCUCCACUGUGGGUGAACACAUCAGUGUCGGAAGUUGCCGUGGACGGCAAGUGAGCCGUGCGCUCCCUCUCUCUCUCGCUCUCCCUCUCCUCACGAGUUGGAAGCGCUGCGCUGCUAUCCUCUGGUAAUUGGGCCAGCUUGUGAAUCGCGGUGCCGCGGCCCUGUAGCAACCUCAGCCUCCAAGCCGUGGCCGACUGCUGUUCUGUCUCCCUCUUUUCUUUUAUUGUUUUAGUUCAUGUUGCCGCUACAACUACUACUACUACUACUACUACCACUACUUUCGUGACGACUACAAUUUUGUGAUGGUUUAAAUUAUAGUUAUGAAUAUUGUUUCAGUUUAUUAGUUCCUUUAUUUUUGUUUGUUUGUUUGUGUGUUUAUUUUUGACUAAGUUGUUUGAUUUGAAUUA